GAGCAUUAACACAACGUGGCUGCAAAGUUAGUCCUUUCCCGCUACCAUCUCCUGAAUACUGGGACUAACUACACGUAUGCACGAACCUGCCCAUCUUUGCCUCUGUUAACAGCUGCCACUGUCUCUUCACGACAUGAUGGCUGACCUAGGUUGGAAGGAACAGAGCCAGUUGGCCAUGGACUGAAACUUUUGGAACUGAUUCUGAGGAGUUAAUGUUUCCAUGAAUAUCUCAGAAGGAGAUGUGGACAAACGAACAGUUAUCUCACUCCUGUAGUGAUCACUGAGUAGGAGCUUCGUCUUUAAAAUCUGGGGUGUGCUGUUAUGCAAUCUUCUUUCCCUGCCCAGUACUGGAUCUGUGAAAAGCUGAAUCAUGAAUCAGUGAGUGUGCGGAUUGGAACCCAAGUUGCUCUCUGGAUAGAACGAAAGGAGUCGUGCCCCAAGAAGAUGGAGAGGGAAGUUAUGAAAUGCUGUGACCAAAUAACAAAUGCUGAUGUUUGGGGAGAUAACUGUUUCCCAUAGGAAAUAGAGUGAAUGCGAUGUCUUUCUUUUGUGAGGGAUUCAUAGACCGCUUCUCAACGCUUGUUACAUGUUACUCCUUUUUUCGAGAUUUUUAUUUACCUAACUGGGAAAGAAACCAGAACAAGGUUUUCAUUGAAUUCUGAUACAGGUAUUUAAAGACUUACGGACAAGAUAUAGAAGAAGAAGUGGUAAUUAACUGAUUAAAGAAGUACAGUUUAUAUCCAGUAGACAGACAGGCUCCAGACAUCCUUAGUGCUGUCUUAGCAUCAAAGGUUAAUCUACCUAAUACUUGUCAUCCUGAAAUGCAUGGUGGAACAUCCAACAGACAAGAGCUACUUCAGGGAAGGACUAUGAUUUUUGUCGUGGAAGACAUUUAACACAGGGCAGCUCCUGUGCACUUACAUGAUAGAUAUUGCUCUUCCGGGGACUCUGAAUGCUCAUCCCACUUUCAGCUCACUAGGCACAUCGAACUAGAAAUUUUAUCAUCUCGUGAAUUAGUCCAAUACCUGAAGGAGCAAGAGAACCAACACCCAGUUGACAAGAAUAUGACCUGUUGAUUGAAGACCAUUAAGAAAGUAACUUGAUUCAGUUGGACUGGACUUUUUUAUUCUAUUGAAAAAGGAAUUUAUUUCCCCUCAGUGAACGUAACAUGAUCAACAUUUUGAAAGUUGUGAACAUGCAUAGUUCUAUAAUUUACAAAAUAAUUAUAAAAAUCUGAGUAUGGAUGCAGCAUAAUUUCAGAACAGAAUAGCCAUCAUACUUUUUAUAUAUCUUAAAUUCGAGUUUUCAAGAGUAUAUUUCUAUGUUAUAUCCUUUGAUUAGUACAAUAUAAAAUCUACAUCUAAUAUGUACUUCAGGUUUUAUUAGAUCAUGCCAUAUUACUGUACAAUUUGGACUUUUCCAUUUUUAUAUAAAAUGUAACAUGCAUUGUACAUUAAUAUUUAUAUAUCUUGUUUAUUUAUAUAUCUUUAGAAUUAAUUUCUGCCAAUUAUUUUCUUUAUUUGAAUACUUGGGGUAUCAUAAAGGUGCUGUUGAGGUAUUCUCAAUAUGCUUGUACAACUUCCUGCCUGUAGUUAAUAAAUGUGGAUAUUUCAUUAAACAAUUGAAAUAUAA
rnacentral:lncRNA from 1 species